rnacentral:rRNA from 1 species
GUAGGUGGCAAGCGUUGUCCGGAAUUAUUGGGCGUAAAGCGCGCGCAGGCGGUCCUUUAAGGUCUGAUGUGAAAGCCCACGGGCUCAACCGUGGAGGGUCAUUGGAAACUGGGGGACUUGAGUACAGAAGAGGAAAGCGGAAUUCCAAGUGUAGCGGUGAAAUGCGUAGAGAUUUGGAGGAACACCAGUGGCGAAGGCGGCUUUCUGGUCUGUAACUGACGCUGAGGCGCGAAAGCGUGGGGAGCAAACAGGAUUAGAUACCCUGGUAGUCCACGCCGUAAACGAUGAGUGCUAAGUGUUAGGGGGUUUCCGCCCCUUAGUGCUGCAGCUAACGCAUUAAGCACUCCGCCUGGGGAGUACGGCCGCAAAGGCUGA